rnacentral:rRNA from 1 species
CCUGCCCCUAAGUCUGGGAUACCAUUUGGAAACAGGUGCUAAUACCGGAUAAUAAAGCAGAUCGCAUGAUCAGCUUUUGAAAGGCGGCGUAAGCUGUCGCUAAGGGAUGGCCCCGCGGUGCAUUAGCUAGUUGGUAAGGUAACGGCUUACCAAGGCGACGAUGCAUAGCCGAGUUGAGAGACUGAUCGGCCACAUUGGGACUGAGACACGGCCCAAACUCCUACGGGAGGCAGCAGUAGGGAAUCUUCCACAAUGGACGCAAGUCUGAUGGAGCAACGCCGCGUGAGUGAAGAAGGUUUUCGGAUCGUAAAGCUCUGUUGUUGGUGAAGAAGGAUAGAGGUAGUAACUGGCCUUUAUUUGACGGUAAUCAACCAGAAAGUCACGGCUAACUACGUGCCAGCAGCCGCGGUAAUACGUAGGUGGCAAGCGUUGUCCGGAUUUAUUGGGCGUAAAGCGAGCGCAGGCGGAAAAAUAAGUCUAAUGUGAAAGCCCUCGGCUUAACCGAGGAACUGCAUCGGAAACUGUUUUUCUUGAGUGCAGAAGAGGAGAGUGGAACUCCAUGUGUAGCGGUGGAAUGCGUAAAUAUAUGGAAGAACACCAGUGGCGAAGGCGGCUCUCUGGUCUGCAACUGACGCUGAGGCUCGAAAGCAUGGGUAGCGAACAGGAUUAGAUACCCUGGUAGUCCAUGCCGUAAACGAUGAGUGCUA